ACUGAGGUCUAUCCCGAUUGGCCCUUGCUGUAGGGCCACAUCGUUGGAAAUGCCUCAAAGAGUAAACCUGUAGUUUUGCUUUACCCAGGUGUUCUCUGCUGUGGGCAUUGUGGGAUACAACUGCAGAACACUU
ensembl:snoRNA